UGGGGAAUAUUGGGCAAUGGGCGAAAGCCUGACCCAGCAACGCCGCGUGAAGGAAGAAGGCUUUCGGGUUGUAAACUUCUUUUCUCAGGGACGAAAGAAAUGACGGUACCUGAGGAAUAAGCCACGGCUAACUACGUGCCAGCAGCCGCGGUAAUACGUAGGUGGCAAGCGUUAUCCGGAUUUAUUGGGUGUAAAGGGCGUGUAGGCGGGAGUGCAAGUCAGAUGUGAAAACUAUGGGCUCAACCCAUAGCCUGCAUUUGAAACUGUACUUCUUGAGUGCUGGAGAGGCAAUCGGAAUUCCGUGUGUAGCGGUGAAAUGCGUAGAUAUACGGAGGAACACCAGUGGCGAAGGCGGAUUGCUGGACAGUAACUGACGCUGAGGCGCGAAAGCGUGGGGAGCAAACAGGAUUAGAUACCC
rnacentral:rRNA from 1 species